AUUACGAACACCUGACCUGCAGUGCAGCAGAAUUCAGAGGUCCAGUUGAGGGCAUCAAGAACACGCAGAUGGCCUAAACCUGUGUCAGCCUGGACAGACUGCCGUUCUGCUACUCCACACCAAGGCUUUUGUAUAGAUGUCUUGACUGCUACUGUGUUCUCUAAAGGUUUUCUGGAAGCUCCAUUUGAGGGCAUCAAGGACAUACUGAUGGCCUAAACCAGUGUCAGCCUAGACAGACAGACAUCUAUUGCAGUUCUGCUACACAAGACCAAACUCUCUGCUUUUGUAUGGAUGUCUGACUAGUACGGUGUUCUCUAAAGGUGUAACUGGAGCAAAACAACAGCACCCGUUACAGUGACAUUUGUGUUCAUAAAAGAUAGUGAUAUAUCAGGUGUAGUAACAGGUCCAGUACAUUUGUCAUAAAGGUUAAAUCACAGUAAGUACUGUAAAAAUAACUUGUUUGCCUUUGCCACAACAGGUCAUGGUGUGUACUUACUGCUCGUAAUAAACACACACGCUGAUCUGAUGCGGGAGAGAUAUAUGCAAACACAUUAGUAUUUACUGUUUUGUUUUGCCUCACUAAAGUGUUGUUGGAGCUUGGUAUGUUCACAGUUGAAAUUACUGAAGUCACAUGGAACGUUUUGACAAUGUGUUUUGUGCCUUAUUAUGACAAUGACCAUCUUGGGACCAUUGCUGUCUGUAGAGGAUGAGGCAUUUAAUCUAAAAUAUUUUAGUUUGUGUUCUGAAGAUUAACAAGUCUCUGGGAUGACACAAGUAAUUAAUAACAGAACCUAUAUGAACACUUAAUG
rnacentral:lncRNA from 1 species